rnacentral:rRNA from 1 species
UACGAGAGGCCCAAACGUUAUUCGGAAUUACUGGGCUUAAAGAGUUCGUAGGCGGCGCAGCAAGUAGGGUGUGAAAGCCCUCGGCUCAACCGAGGAAUUGCGCCCUAAACUACUGUGCUUGAGGAACCUAGAGGUGAGCGGAACUGAUGGUGGAGCGGUGAAAUGCGUUGAUAUCAUCAGGAACACCGGAGGCGAAGGCGGCUACCUGGACCGGUACUGACGCUGAGGCGCGAAAGCUAGGGUAGCAAACAGG